UACGUAGGGUGCGAGCGUUGCCCGGAUUUAUUGGGCGUAAAGGGCGCGUAGGCGGCUCUGCACGUCCGUUGUGAAAUCGCCCGGCUCAACUGGGCGGGGUCAGCGGAUACGGCGGAGCUUGAGCAAGCUAGGGGGCAAUGGAAUUCCCGGUGUAGUGGUGGAAUGCGUAGAUAUCAGGAGGAACACCUGCGGUGUAGACGGCUUUCUGGACCAUUGUUGACGCUGAGACACGAAAGCGUGGGUAGCAAACAGG
rnacentral:rRNA from 1 species